rnacentral:rRNA from 1 species
CCCUUAGAUGUUCUGGGCCGCACGCGCGAUACACUGACGAAUGCAACGAGCUUAUAACCUUGGCCGAAAGGUCUGGGUAAUCUCCAAAUUUCGUCGUGAUGGGGAUAGAUUAUUGCAAUUAUUAAUCUUCAACGAGGAAUGCCUAGUAAGCGCAAGUCAUCAGCUUGCGUUGAUUACGUCCCUGCCCUUUGUACACACCGCCCGUCGCUCCUACCGAUUGAAUGGUCCGGUGAAGCGUUCGGACCGUGGCCUUUGGACGGUUCGCCGUCUGUUGGCUGCGGGAAGUUCGUUAAACCUUAUCAUUUAGAGGAAGGAGAAGUCGUAACA